UGNNGCGGAAUAAGUNNNNCNUGNUCCNUGAUGUNNACGGCGGACGGGUGAGUAACACGUGGGUAACCUGCCUGUAAGACUGGGAUAACUCCGGGAAACCGGGGCUAAUACCGGAUGGUUGUUUGAACCGCAUGGUUCAAACAUAAAAGGUGGCUUCGGCUACCACUUACAGAUGGACCCGCGGCGCAUUAGCUAGUUGGUGAGGUAACGGCUCACCAAGGCAACGAUGCGUAGCCGACCUGAGAGGGUGAUCGGCCACACUGGGACUGAGACACGGCCCAGACUCCUACGGGAGGCAGCAGUAGGGAAUCUUCCGCAAUGGACGAAAGUCUGACGGAGCAACGCCGCGUGAGUGAUGAAGGUUUUCGGAUCGUAAAGCUCUGUUGUUAGGGAAGAACAAGUACCGUUCGAAUAGGGCGGUACCUUGACGGUACCUAACCACAAAGCCACGGCUAACUACGUGCCAGCCGCCGCGGUAAUACGUAGGUGGCAAGNGUUGUCCGGAAUUAUUGGGCGUAACGGCCUCACANGCGGUUUCUUAAUUCUGAUGUGAAAGCCCCCGGCUCAACCGGGGAGGGUCAUUGGAAACUGGGGAACUUGAGUGCNGAAUAGGAGAGUGGAAUUCCACGUGUANCUNUGAANUGNNNAUAGAUGCGGANGANNNCNANUCGCCAACGCUACUCUCUGGUCUGUNCUNNNNCU
rnacentral:rRNA from 1 species